AAAAGACUCAACCAAUAAAGCGGAUUCCUAAUUCCACUCAACCAUAGAACAUUUAACACUAAUAGGAGACUAUCUUAAAGGCCUAUAUAAAGGUCAUCAAGUAUGCAUACUAAACAAUUAUUCAUUCAUCCUAUUGUCCAGAUUUCAUUAUUGACUUAGGCAUCGGAGCAAUGGUCAUCUAACCAACAUGGUGCUCUUCUUUCUUGCAGAUCCUAUCUGACAUCCAUUACCCACCAAAG
rnacentral:misc_RNA from 1 species